rnacentral:lncRNA from 1 species
GACUGGGGGACCCAGCAAACCCCAGGGGGGCUGAAGAGCAGAAUGAGAGUUGCCAGUUCGAAUCCUUCUGCUCUGUGCUGUGGGUCCUGAGUUCAGCCUUCAGAAGUCUGACCAGGCCUCGGCACAGGCCACCUGCUCCCCCCAGGGGCCCUGGCCUCCGCUCCCCCAGGUUCAAGCUGCCCCUUCUCAGCUGAUCUUCCCAAACUGCCUGCAUUCACCCUGCUGCCUCCCAAGGGUACAUGUGCCACUCACCCCAGGUGGGUGCAUGAAGGGAUCUGCACCCCCCCACCCCCUUGAGGAAAGCUGCUUUGCCAAGCUCAUUAGUGUGAACGAAGGUGGCCACUGCAGAGGACCCCCAACCAGGAGACACGGUGUAAUUGCUUUACUCCUCUGCUCCUCGCCCCUCUCCACCAAAUAAGUUGAUCAGGGCAGUAAUUCUCGGUCAAAGGGUAAAUAGUCAUGUCUGGCCCUGUCUCUUUACCUGGGCCACAUUGGAAGCUGAAUCGUAGCUAUUGAGUGUUUAUCUGUCUGUUUUGUGUUGCA